rnacentral:rRNA from 1 species
UACGUAGGGUGCAAGCGUUAAUCGGAAUUACUGGGCGUAAAGCGUACGCAGGCGGCUUUGCAAGACAGGUGUGAAAUCCCCGGGCCUAACCUGGGAACUGCAUUUGUGACUGCAUGGCUAGAGUUUGUCAGAGGGGGGUGGAAUUCUACGUGUAGCAGUGAAAUGCGUAGAUAUGUGGAGGAACACCGAUGGCGAAGGCAGCCCCCUGGGAUGUGACUGACGCUCAUGUACGAAAGCGUGGGGAGCAAACAGG